rnacentral:rRNA from 1 species
CAGUCGCCGCGGUAAUACAGAGGGUGCGAGCGUUAAUCGGAUUUACUGGGCGUAAAGCGUGCGUAGGCGGCUUCUUAAGUCGGAUGUGAAAUCCCUGAGCUUAACUUAGGAAUUGCAUUCGAUACUGGGAAGCUAGAGUAUGGGAGAGGAUGGUAGAAUUCCAGGUGUAGCGGUGAAAUGCGUAGAGAUCUGGAGGAAUACCGAUGGCGAAGGCAGCCAUCUGGCUUAAUACUGACGCUGAGGUACGAAAGCAUGGGGAGCAAACAGGAUUAGAUACCCCUGUAGUCCCUGUCUCUUAUAC